UACGGGGGGGAGCAAGCGUUGUUCGGAUUUACUGGGCGUAAAGGGCGCGUAGGCGGCUUGACAAGUCACUUGUGAAAUCUCCGGGCUUAACUCGGAACGGCCAAGUGAAACUGUCAUGCUAGAGUGCAGAAGGGGCAAUCGGAAUUCUUGGUGUAGCGGUGAAAUGCGUAGAUAUCAAGAGGAACACCUGAGGUGAAGACGGGUUGCUGGGCUGACACUGACGCUGAGGCGCGAAAGCCAGGGGAGCAAACGGG
rnacentral:rRNA from 1 species